UAUCCAGAUUGAAAUACCGGUUCUCGUACAAUCAUUGAAGUUAAACAACGUCGAGCCUGGUCAGUACCUAGAUGGGUGACCGGUUGAAAAUACCAGGUGCUGUAAG